GUAUAUAUAUGUAUAUAUACUAGUAGAGAAUAAUCCUCAAUCGAAUCUCUCUCAUUUUAUUUUUUAUUAAAUCUAUUAGGUCAGAUAUAAGAAGAUAAUUCUUUUCGUACGAUUCAAAAGUUUCUUAUCGACAAUUCAUUUCGAUUCUUGGCCAAUUAAAAUGGAAGUUAGUUCGUUGGACACAGUAUUGUUCGAAGAAGAUAAAUUAAUAUUUGCUAGCCCAAGAUUAAUUUCAUUGCAAUUUGAUAAUAUUUGUUUACUUUCAUUUCGAAGACAAUAAUUUUCUUUGAUAUGUGGUAAAGUAUCACCUUCACCUCCGAUGAUCUUUGCAAUUUCAUUCGAAGAUGUUUCUUCUUCGAUUUUCAUUCUGUAUCAGUGAGGACGAGAAUUUAUAUGUAUAUUUUCGAAACAUAAUGCACGUCGAAGAAGUGCUUUAAUAUUGUGGUCAUCCUCAGAAAGCACAAUAUUGCAAUCAUUGAGUGCAUCUUCGUAACGCUGUAACUUAAUGACUGAAUAUAGCAUGUUAAACGUGUGUUUUCUCUUUCUUUAUUUCUUUCCUAACUGUCAACAUCGUAUUUGUCCCAAGCAGCAUAAUCGCAAGAAGCUAUUCGUUUGGAUUUUCGAUCGGUCUCACGUUUCUCUCUGAUAGUUAUUCUACCAUCGUAGAAAUCUCUUCGGCAUGUCUAAUUUCUGGGAUAAGUAAAGGAUCGUCUAUGAGAGUGGCUUUUCCAUCGUUCAAAUCCUUCUCUCGAGAAUGCAUUUCACGAGUCCAAUCGUUAAUAUCAUUAUCAAGUUCCUUGCAUUCGUCUGGUAGCAACAUUUUACGGUAAUUAGAUCCGCUUCUUCGGUGACCAUGUUAAAAGGACGUCUGAAAUCGACAUGGAAGGCCUACAUCUUGUUUUUCUCGGUCGUUAUGGUAACGGGUUCUUACACCAUCGAAAGUUAGUUCCAGUUGAAAUAACAGCAAUGUAUUGAUAUCAGUAGAUACGAUCGUUAGAACCAAAUUUCGUUUCUUUCAAAAUUGUUUACACGAUUAUCAAGUUACUGUUGAUUACUAUAUAUACAUACAUACAUACAUACAUAUAUAUAUGUGUGUAUAUAUAUAUAUAUAUAUAUAUAUAUAUA